rnacentral:rRNA from 1 species
GUAGGUGGCAAGCGUUGUCCGGAAUUAUUGGGCAUAAAGCGCGCGCAGGCGGUUCUUUAAGACUGAUGUGAAAGCCCACGGGCUCAACCGUGGAGGGUCAUUGGAAACUGGAGAACUUGAGUACAGAAGAGGAAAGCGGAAUUCCACGUGUAGCGGUGAAAUGCGUAGGGAUGUGGAGGAACACCAGUGGCGAAGGCGGCUUUCUGGUCUGUAACUGACGCUGAGGCGCGAAAGCGUGGGGAGCAAACAGGAUUAGAUACCCUGGUAGUCCACGCCGUAAACGAUGAGUGCUAAGUGUUAGGGGGUUUCCGCCCCUUAGUGCUGCAGCUAACGCAUUAAGCACUCCGCCUGGGGAGUACGGCCGCAAAGGCUG